UCAUGUACCAUGGCUUCAAACUCUGGAAAAAAAAAGAAAAUAUGAGAAAGUUAAUGCAAAAAAUUGUGGGUCAAACUCUUCUGACCUAACAGAAAAAAAAAUCGAAAUCUUGCUUUUGAAAAUAGACGUACAGCAUUGACUGUGUUGUUGUACUGUUGUCUGACACACUGUAUCUUACUUUCUGUUGCUAAAAGACUGCAUUCCUGUAUAUCAAGGUGGUGCAAACGACGAAGAGGCAGAUUAACCUUCUCUCUCAUUUUCUCUCCUUCGAAAGGAGGCGUGAACCUGAGGAAACAGUCAUGGACUCCAACAAAACGGCGUGAGUGGAAAAGUUCCACCCAUCGUCUGAAAGAGAGUGACGUCGUUAGGUGCUGUCAGGAAUCAGCUCCAAGUACGUGGGGCGACUGUCGGGGCAAAUGUGAUUCAGAAUCCAGCAGUUCAACACAAACCGACACGAGCAGUGUUGAAGAGGGAGGACUGCACAAUGAAGGGACACACUCAUUUGAUGAUGGUAAAAGGACAAAAAAUAAAAGGACAACGUGACUCAGGCACUAGAGUUGGAGUGUCAAAGGACACCAGUGCUCUUUUAAAGACACUCCAGCUGCUGAAAAGUGAUACUAUUUGGUUGAUGACAGUAUUUCUGCAGCACAGCAUUAACAAAGAGUGGAAAAUAAAUUCUAGAACAAUUACUCAUUCAAUUUAGAGCUAUCAUUUCCACUCUUUCUUCUCCAUCCCUCUCUGUCGCUCACACACACAGGUCGAAGACAGAACCGUCUCUGUCGCCCUCUAGUGUUCAAAGCCGUAAUCACUCAGACUAUUACCUCAGCAGACAUCAGCUGUUAUGUGAAUCUAACUA